GACGUAGGGGGCGAGCGUUGUCCGGAUUCAUUGGGCGUAAAGCGCGCGUAGGCGGCUGCGCAAGUCGGUUGUGAAAUUCCGGGGCUCAACCCCGGAACUGCGUCCGAUACUGCGUGGCUAGAGGUAGGUAGGGGAGAUCGGAAUUCCUGGUGUAGCGGUGAAAUGCGCAGAUAUCAGGAAGAACACCAGUGGCGAAGGCGGCUCACUGGACCGGUAUUGACGCUGAGGUGCGAAAGCGUGGGGAGCAAACAGG
rnacentral:rRNA from 1 species